rnacentral:rRNA from 1 species
AUGGCGUCAAGAUCAAGCAUAUCAGAAGUGAUAACGGCACUGAAUUCAAGAACAUCGGGCUUGAUCUCUAUCUGGAUACAAUGGGAAUCACUCAUGAGUUUUUUGCUCCAUACACCUCAACAAAAUGGCAUUAUAGAGCGCAAGAACAAAACCCUCAUUGAGAUGGCUCGAACAAUGCUCGAUGAGUACAAAACACCAAGAAAGUUCUGGCCUGAAGCUAUUGAUACAGCAUGUCACAUCAUCAACCGUGUCUACAUCCACAAGCUUCUGGACAAAACAUCCUAUGAGCUCCUUACUGGCAAGAAGCCAAAUGUCAGCUACUUCAGGGUCUUUGGUGCUAGAUGCUGGAUCAAGGAUCCCCAUCACAAGUCAAAAUUUGCACCUAAGGCUCACGAAGGCUUCAUGCUUGGCUAUGAAAAGGACUCACACUCCUACAAAGUCUUCAACCUCUAUCUCUACAAGAUCGUCGAAACUAUGGAUAUGAGAUUUGAUGAAACCAAUGGUUCACAAAGAGAACUCCUGCCAAGUACACUUGAUGAAGCUCCUCCAAGCGAAUCUAUCAAGCUGAUGUGA